AUUGCUUCUUGGCCUUCUGGAUGAGACCAGCUAUAGUGUCUGUUUUUACCAGCCUACCUCCUGAGGCAUCCUCUAUCUGAGGAGAAUUGUUUAAGAGGAUUUUUGGAGCAGGGAGGUAGAAUAGGAACUUGCCUGACCACACAUAAUUCUGGUAUUAUAGUACCUUGAAAAACAAUAUACCCCCC